rnacentral:rRNA from 1 species
UACGUAGGUGGCAAGCGUUGUCCGGAUUUACUGGGCGUAAAGAGCGCGCAGGCGGUCGUACAAGUCGCGUGUGAAAGCCCCCGGCUCAACUGGGGAGGGUCACGCGAUACUGUUCGACUCGAAGGCAGGAGAGGGAAGCAGAAUUCCCGGUGUAGUGGUGAAAUGCGUAGAUACCGGGAGGAAUACCAGUGGCGAAGGCGGCUUCCUGGCCUGUUCUUGACGCUGAGGCGCGAAAGCUAGGGUAGCAAACGGG